AGGGGUGUAGCUCUAACGGCAGAGCAGCGGAUUCCAAAUCCGACGGUUGGGAGUUCGAAUCUCUCCACCCCUGCCA
rnacentral:tRNA from 2 species